UAGUGACAUGACUUAAGUUGGAUAAUGACGUUAGUAACGUGAUUCAAACGGGAUAUAUUAAAAAAAUGAUGUAACUCAAGUAGGAUAAUGAUGUUAGUGACGUGACUCAAACUAGAUAUAUUAAAAGUAGCUGAGGUGAUUUAUUUUAGUUUUGUAAAUAAAAAAUACUAUGCAUACGUAAAAAAAAAAAUUACCAAUUAAGUCAUAAUAUAUUUGUGUAUAAACGUGUAUUGUUUAAGUUAUUUUAAUGUAUAUCCUAUUUCAACAUUUAUUUUAUAUUAGUAGUUGAUUAUGAUUAUUUUUAGAUUGUGUCACACUAUCAUAGUCAACACUCAACUCAAGACAUUGAGUCAAUGUCUAUCGUUGCAAAACAGCAUCAAGAGAAAGUGCAAGAUAUAUAUUUGAUUUUGAAAUGGCUAUUAACAUCGUUGGUGUGAUCAUGGGAGUUAUGAGCUGCCUCUGUACACAGAACUGUCUUCAAGAAUCACUUGGUCAUCAUAUUAGACACCUUAGAAGACUCAAAAAGAAAUUUGAACAUACUCAAGUCUGUGGGCCAAGCUAAAUCAAAGGUGGCUUCAAAAAGGGAUGAAUUCAAAGAAAGAAGUGGAAUUGUGGCUGAAACAAGUUGAUGAGAUUGCAAAUGAAGUAAAUAAGAUCAUAAGGGAAGUUGAACAAGAAAAUGGAAGCACGAGUGUUUUCUCUCCAUUUUAUUAUAGUUCAAGAAUAAAGAGGGGAGAACUUAUUGAGAAAAAAAUGGAGUUCCAACAACAAAGCUAAUGGAACACGAAACAACAAUGAAGGAAGAAGUUUGCCUUGAUUCAGGAUGAUGUAUGGGAGCCAUUCUCUCUUGAAAGAGUUGGAAUACCAAUACCAACUGUGGAGAUGCCGAGGCAUGGAAACAGAUAGAGAUAUCAAAGUUGGGGAUGAAGCAUUGGCCUCUCCGGACAUCAAACUGAUUGCAACUGAUAUAUUUCAGAAUGGCAGAUUUCAUUGAUGGGGUUAAAAGCUUCAGCUCUCAACAUAGAACAAAUGGAAGAAUCUGUUUUUUCUCGUUUGAAAUUCAGCUUCACAAAAUUGAAGGUCUUGUUUUCUAUAUUGUGCUCUCUAUACUGAAGGGUGCUGCCGGGUUCGGUUUCUAACUUAGAGAAUCUAUGUGCCUUUUUAUUGAGCAAUUGCUGGAAUUUGAAAUUGAUCCCUUCUGUGGCAAAACUCACUUAGUUGAUGGUUCUCGACAUUUCGGGUUGCCGAAACAUAAAACAACUUCCACAUCGGAUAGAACAGCUAUGCAACCUGAGAAGGCUAUAUAUUUCCAAUACCUUGAUUAACAUCUUGCCAUCUGAUUUUCUCUCGGCUUUCAAAAAUCAUUGAUACUGAGCGUUUCUGAAAUCAUAUCCUCCUCGAGAUUAUCAUCUCUUGAAGUGGAUUUCUGGCACUGUGUUCUCUAUAAUCUGUAUGCUUGCUUUGGUCACUGUGCUCAGCUAGAGAAGUUCAAGUUCAAUCUAGGAGAAAUCCAAGAAGUUUCGGAGAAACCAAGUGUGGCAUUUCUUGGCACAUCCAUUGCCAAAGGAAAUUUCAAUCCCAGCAAAUACUACCGAGUUGAGAUUUAUUGACUGCUUGCCUUUUGCAUGUAGACAAGCUCAAGAUGAAUUAGUAGGCAUUGACCAACAACUAUUGUCACCGCAUGCUUUGGAAAAGUGAUUAGUCUAAUCACCUUUAAAUUAAGGUAGUAAAAUUCAUGCAUAAUAAAAAUUAUAAAUUUAAAAGUGCUUAGUCCUUUUUUAUUAUUU